rnacentral:rRNA from 1 species
CCUACGGGUGGCAGCAGUGGGGAAUAUUGCACAAUGGGGGAAACCCUGAUGCAGCAACGCCGCGUGACGGAUGAAGUCUUUCGGUAUGUAAACCUCUAUUAUUAGGGAAGUAAAUGACAGUACCUGACCAAGAAUCACCGGCUAACUACGUGCCAGCAGCCGCGGUAAUACGUAGGUGGCAAGCGUUAUCCGGAUUUACUGGGUGUAAAGGGGGCGUAGUCGGUUAUGUAAGUCUGGAGUGAAAUCCCUGGGCGCAACCCCGGUACUGCAUUGGAAACUGUGUAUUUUGAGUACAGGAGGGGCAGGUGGAAUGCCGGGUGUAGCGGUGAAAUGCGUAGAGAUCAGGAGGAAAACCGGUGGCGAAGGCGGCCUGCUGGACUGAAACUGACGUUGAGGCGCGAAAGCGUGGGGAGCAAACAGGAUUAGAUACCCUGGUAGUC